AUGUCAGCCGCCGCGGUAAUACAGAGGGUGCAAGCGUUAAUCGGAUUUACUGGGCGUAAAGCGUGCGUAGGCGGUUUGCUAAGUCGGUUGUGAAAGCCCUGGGCUUAACCUGGGAAUUGCAGUCGAUACUGGCAGGCUAGAGAACGGUAGAGGGAGGCGGAACUCCAGGUGUAGCGGUGAAAUGCGUAGAUAUCUGGAAGAACACCGAUGGCGAAGGCAACCUCCUGGGCCUGUUCUGGCGCUGAGGCACGAAAGCGUGGGUAGCAAACAGGAUUAGAUACCCUGGUAGUCCACGCUGUAAACGAUGAGAACUUGACGUCGGGUUGCUUAGCAAUUCGGUGUCGAAGCUAACGCGCUAAGUUCUCCGCCUGGGGAGUACGGCCGCAAGGUUGAAACUUAAAGGAAUUGGCGGGG
rnacentral:rRNA from 1 species